GAUAUACUCCCUCCGUCCGGAAAUACUUGUCAUCAAAAUGGAUAAAAGAAGAUGUAUCUAGACGUAUUUUAGUUCUAGAUACAUCCCUUUUUAUCCAUUUUGGUGACAAGUAUUUUCGGACGGAGGGAGUAUAUG
rnacentral:pre_miRNA from 1 species